rnacentral:rRNA from 1 species
UACGGAGGGUGCAAGCGUUGUCCGGAUUUAUUGGGUUUAAAGGGUGCGUAGGCGGCUGAUUAAGUCUGGGGUGAAAGCCCGUUGCUCAACAACGGAACUGCCCUGGAAACUGGUUAGCUUGAGUACAGACGAGGGUGGCGGAAUGGAUACUGUAGCGGUGAAAUGCAUAGAUAGUAUCCAGAACCCCGAUUGCGAAGCAGCUGCCUAGACUGUAACUGACGCUGAGGCACGAAAGCGUGGGGAGCGAACAGG